GGUCUCCUACGGGGCGCAGCAGUCGGGAAUAUUGCGCAAUGGAGGAAACUCUGACGCAGUGACGCCGCGUAUAGGAAGAAGGUUUUCGGAUUGUAAACUAUUGUCGUGAGGGAAGGAAUUGACAGUACCUCAGGAGGAAGCUCCGGCUAACUAUGUGCCAGCAGCCGCGGUAAUACAUAGGGAGCAAGCGUUAUCCGGAUUUAUUGGGUGUAAAGGGUGCGUAGACGGGAAAUUAAGUUAGUUGUGAAAUCCCUCGUCUUAACUGAGGAACUGCACCUAAAAUUGAUUUUUUUGAGUACUGUAGG
rnacentral:rRNA from 1 species